UUUAUCUUAGUGGCGGACGGGUGAGUAACGCGUGAGUAACCUGCCUUUCAGAGGGGGAUAACGUCUGGAAACGGACGCUAAUACCGCAUGAGACCACAGCUUCACAUGGAGCAGCGGUCAAAGGAGCAAUCCGCUGAAAGAUGGACUCGCGUCCGAUUAGAUAGUUGGCGGGGUAACGGCCCACCAAGUCGACGAUCGGUAGCCGGACUGAGAGGUUGAACGGCCACAUUGGGACUGAGACACGGCCCAGACUCCUACGGGAGGCAGCAGUGAGGGAUAUAGGUCAAUGGGGGAAACCCUGAACCAGCAACGCCGCGUGAGGGAAGACGGUUUUCGGAUUGUAAACCUCUGUCCUCUGUGAAGAUAGUGACGGUAGCAGAGGAGGAAGCUCCGGCUAACUACGUGCCAGCAGCCGCGGUAAUACGUAGGGAGCGAGCGUUGUCCGGAUUUACUGGGUGUAAAGGGUGCGUAGGCGGCUCUGCAAGUCAGAAGUGAAAUCCAUGGGCUUAACCCAUGAACUGCUUUUGAAACUGUAGAGCUUGAGUGAAGUAGAGGUAGGCGGAAUUCCCGGUGUAGCGGUGAAAUGCGUAGAGAUCGGGAGGAACAGCCAGUGGCGAAGGCGGCCUACUG
rnacentral:rRNA from 1 species